GUUUUACUGGGAUGCCAUUCUUAAUCCAGUCUCUUGAGUAACUUGGGCUCUGAAGAAGCUUAAUAUUUUACAGAUGACUUCUAGGGUAUGGUAGAUUUCCUCAGCCAAUUCUAACAGUCUUCUUGUGCAAUGUAAUUCCAGUUCAUACAAUAGCUCAUCAGAGACAUGAGCUAAACAGGGCCUUUUCACACAUAUGUGGAAGACUUUCCACUGAUUUGAUUCAAUUGAGACUGGUUAAGGGACCUUGGUUAAGGUACCAAGACAUGGUACUUUGUCAUUUAUUUUAGGUGGUGUGCUGUGAUUUAAGCAUUUGACCUUUACACCUUCAACAUAUCAGACCAAAUCCUUCCCUGAAGGAGAUCACCGUUUCCCAGGAGAACAGUUCUGUAUACAGAAGUCCUGAAACUAGUUAAUGUGAUACAGAGGAAUGCUACAGUCAAGAAACAGACUGGAUGAAUUUGGUACUCAUUGGGAUGGUCCUUCCCCCUCAGGAAGCAUGGACAGCACAGCUCAAUCCCAGGACAGAAUCUCAAAGUUGGAAAGGAUCUCAGUGGGCUUCUAUUUCAACCUGUUCUGGGGUAGGAUUCCCCUCUACAGUGGUCCCAGCCUUUGCUUGAAGACUUCCAGUAAGGGUAAACCCAUGACCCACCAAGGAAGUUGACCGACUUUUGGACAGGUUUAAUUGUAAGGAAGUUUCUUUGGCUAUCAAAUCUAAAACUGACUUCUUUGUAACUUCUACCCAUGUCUCUUAGUUCUGCUGCCUGGCACCAAGCGAGAGAAGGCUGACCCUUCCUCCACUUGACAGCCCAUCAGAUACUUGAAGACAGCCAUUGUUGUGUCUCCUGUCUUCUCUUCUGCAGGAUAUAUGUCCUUAAUUCUUUUAAUUGACCCUCACAUGGCACGCUUGGAGGAUUUUUUGAGAACCUCGUUCUCCAGUCAUUAGAAUCUCCUUGAGAACAUAAAUAGAUCAGAGUAUUGACAUCUUUGGAAAACAGCCUCACAAUGGAGAUGAUGGGAUAUCAUGGGAAGAAGACUGAACCAAGUUCUUGUCCUGGAUCUGUCAGCAACUAGAUGGGUAACCUUGAGUAAGUCACUUAACCUCUGUCUGUAUUCAUUUACUUAGUUGUGAAAUGGAGAGAAUAAUGCCAUCCUUUAUGUAUACACGACGAUGUUGUGGGGGUCAAAAGGAAGUAAUAUAUGCAAAAGCAUGGUGAAUGCUGUUCCAGA
rnacentral:lncRNA from 1 species